rnacentral:rRNA from 1 species
GACGUAGGGCGCGAGCGUUGUCCGGAUUUAUUGGGCGUAAAGAGCGUGUAGGCGGCCAGGUAGGUCUGCUGUGAAAACUCGAGGCUUAACCUCGAGCUGUCGGCGGAAACCAUCUGGCUAGAGUCCGGAAGAGGAGAAUGGAAUUCCCGGUGUAGCGGUGAAAUGCGCAGAUAUCGGGAGGAACACCGGUGGUGUAGACGGCUUUCUGGACCGACACUGACGCUGAGACACGAAAGCGUGGGUAGCAAACAGG